rnacentral:lncRNA from 1 species
AUGACAAUGGUGAUCCACUUCCCGGAUUUGUACCGUUCUGAGUCCACGCCAGAGGGUGGCUUUGUCCUGCUGGUAAUUCAUCUUUCACGGAGAUGCUGCAAGAGUCAAAUCGACGGUGGUCCCCCAGGUCACCGUGGCCACCAGAUCCAGUCUGUGUCCAGAUCAGAGGGUCACUGCAGUCACCCGGAUCCAGUACGUAUCCAGACCAGAUGGUGGAUCAGCACCUAGAAAGGACCUCUACUGCCCUGAAAGACAGCGGAGACCAGGACAACUAGAGUCCCAGAUACAGAUGCCCUGUAAAGACCUUGUCUCAGAGGAGCACCAGGACAAGACCACAGGAAACAGAUGAUUCUUCUGCACAAUCUGACUUUGCUGCAGCCUGGAAUUGAACUACUGGUUUCGUCUGGUCAGAGGAGAACUGGCCCCCCAACUGAGCCUGGUUUCUCCCAAGGUUUUUUUCUCCAUUCUGUCACCGAUGGAGUUUCGGUUCCUUGCCGCUGUCGCCUCUGGCUUGCUUAGUUGGGGUCACUUCAUCUACAGCGAUAUAUCAUUGACUUGAUUGCAAAUUAAAACAGACACUAUUUCAACUGAACAGAGAUGACAUAACUGAAUUCAAUGAUGAACUGCCUUUAACUAUCAUUUUGCAUUAUUGAGACACUGUUUUCCAAAUGAAUGUUGUUCAGUGCUUUGGCGCAAUGUAUUUUGUUUAAAGCACUAUAUAAAUAAAGGUGAUUGAUUGAUUGAUUGAUAUGCGCUCACUUUCGCGUAUUCAUCGCGGGGAUAAAGAACACGUUUUUGUUUAACGAUCAUAGGCAUAGUUACAGUAUGUCCAAUAACAAUACAACACGAUAUAAUAAAAAUCAGAGAUGGUCUAAAUGUCCUUUGAAAUCACGCUAACCACUUGUUUUGGUAUGUGG